CCUACAAGUCGAGCAGGGACGAAAGUCGGGCUUAGUGAUCCGGCGGUUCCGCGUGGAAGGGCCGUCGCUUAACGGAUAAAAGCUACCCUGGGGAUAACAGGCUAAUCUCGCCCAAGAGUUCACAUCGACGGCGAGGUUUGGCACCUCGAUGUCGGCUCAUCGCAUCCUGGAGCUGAAUUAGGUUCCAAGGGUUGGGCUGUCCGCCCAUUAAAGCGGUACGCGAGCUGGGUUCAGAACGUCGUGAGACAGUUCGGUCCCUAUCUGUUGUGGGCGUAGGAAAUUUGAGGAGCGCUGUCCCUAGUACGAGAGGACCGGGAUGGACAUACCGCUGGUGUACCAGUUGUUCUGCCAAGGGCAUCGCUGGGUAGCUAAGUAUGGACUGGAUAAGCGCU
rnacentral:rRNA from 1 species